ACUCCUACGGGAGGCAGCAGUGGGGAAUAUUGCACAAUGGGCGCAAGCCUGAUGCAGCCAUGCCGCGUGUGUGAAGAAGGCCUUCGGGUUGUAAAGCACUUUCAGUCGUGAGGAAGGUAGUGUAGUUAAUAGCUGCAUUAUUUGACGUUAGCGACAGAAGAAGCACCGGCUAACUCCGUGCCAGCAGCCGCGGUAAUACGGAGGGUGCGAGCGUUAAUCGGAAUUACUGGGCGUAAAGCGCAUGCAGGUGGUUUGUUAAGUCAGAUGUGAAAGCCCGGGGCUCAACCUCGGAAUAGCAUUUGAAACUGGCAGACUAGAGUACUGUAGAGGGGGUUAGAAUUUCAGGUGUAGCGGUGAAAUGCGUAGAGAUCUGAAGGAAUACCGGUGGCGAAGGCGGCCCCUGGACAGAUACUGACACUCAGAUGCGAAAGCGUGGGAGCAAACAGGAUUAGAUACCCCGUGGUAGCGACUGAG
rnacentral:rRNA from 1 species